rnacentral:rRNA from 1 species
GACGAAGGGGGCUAGCGUUGUUCGGAAUUACUGGGCGUAAAGCGCGUGUAGGCGGUUAUCCAAGUCAGGUGUGAAAGCCUUGAGCUCAACUCAAGAAAUGCACUUGGUACUGGGUGACUAGAGGACCGGAGAGGAUAGUGGAAUUCCCAGUGUAGUGGCGAAAUACGUAGAGAUUGGGAAGAACACCAGUGGCGAAGGCGGCUAUCUGGACGGUUUCUGACGCUAAGACGCGAAAGCCAGGGGAGCAAACGGG